rnacentral:rRNA from 1 species
UGCGUAGGCGGGCUAAUAAGUCAGUGGUGAAAUCUUCCGGCUCAACCGGGAACCUGCCAUUGAUACUGUUAGUCUUGAGUUCGGCUGAGGUAGGCGGAAUGUGUAAUGUAGUGGUGAAAUGCUUAGAUAUUACACAGAACACCAAUUGCGUAGGCAGCUUACUAGACCGACACUGACGCUGAGGCACGAAAGCGUGGGGAGCGAACAGGAUUAGAUACCCUGGUAGUCC